rnacentral:rRNA from 1 species
CAGCAGCCGCGGUAAUACGUAGGGUGCAAGCGUUAAUCGGAAUUACUGGGCGUAAAGCGCGCGCAGGCGGUCCGCUAAGACAGAUGUGAAAUCCCCGGGCUUAACCUGGGAACUGCAUUUGUGACUGGCGGGCUAGAGUAUGGCAGAGGGGGGUAGAAUUCCACGUGUAGCAGUGAGAUGCGUAGAGAUGUGGAGGAAUACCGAUGGCGAAGGCAGCCCCCUGGGCCAAUACUGACGCUCAUGCACGAAAGCGUGGGGAGCAAACAGGAUUAGAUACCCCUGUAGUCCCUGUCUCUUAUAA